rnacentral:lncRNA from 1 species
UGUGGGGCUCUGAUUCGUGUUUAGAUUGUAUAUUCUCACUGGUAAAUGCUGUUCCCUGAGGGUGUUCUGUGUCUGAGGAAGUGACCCUUUGUGAGAAAGACAUUGCCUUUGCAGCACGUGAAGCAUUCCCACUCUUCAUUCUUGAUGGGAUGGGUAACACCGUUUUAGCAUAUUUGGUUUCUAAAUCACUGCCUAUUUUCUUUGCAAUCUCUAAAAGCAAAUUUUAUUUCAAUUAUGUCUUACUGAAGAAGUCUUUUCCAGCUAGAAAGAUGCUCUUACAUUCUCUGAUCAUGAAGCCCCUGAAUUUGAAGCUCCAGAAAGCCUUGUUUUCUCUGUGUGGUUCAGCUCCUUUCCAUUUGGUAUUAUGCAU